rnacentral:rRNA from 1 species
CGGGGUGCAGCAGGCGCGAAAACUUUACAAUGCUGGCAACAGCGAUAAGGGGACCUCGAGUGCCAGGUUACAAAUCUGGCUGUUGAGAUGCCUAAAAAGCAUUUCAUAGCAAGGGCCGGGCAAGACCGGUGCCAGCCGCCGCGGUAACACCGGCGGCUCGAGUGGUAACCGUUAUUAUUGGGUCUAAAGGGUCUGUAGCCGGCCGGAUAAGUCUCUUGGGAAAUCUGGCAGCUUAACUGUCAGGCUUUCAGGAGAUACUGUCUGGCUCGAGGCCGGGAGAGGUGAGAGGUACUUCAGGGGUAGGGGUGAAAUCUUGUAAUCCUUGAAGGACCACCAGUGGCGAAGGCGUCUCACCAGAACGGACCUGACGGCAAGGGACGAAAGCUAGGGGCACGAACCGGAUUAGAUACCCGGGUAGUCCUAGCCGUAAACGAUACUCGCUAGGUGUCGGCCACGGUGCGACCGUUGUCGGUGCCGUAGGGAAGCCGUGAAGCGAGCCACCUGGGAAGUACGGCCGCAAGGCUGAAACUUAAAGGAAUUGGCGGGGGAGCAC